GCGCCCGUGGUGUAGCGGAUAUCACGUCAGCCUCCGAAGCUGAAGAUCGCUGGUUCGAUUCCAGCCGGGCGCACCA
rnacentral:tRNA from 1 species